CGCGGCCUAUCAGCUUGUUGGAGAGGUAACGGCUCACCAAGGCAUCGACGGGUAGCUGGUCUGAGAGGAUGAUCAGCCACACUGGGACUGAGACACGGCCCAGACUCCUACGGGAGGCAGCAGUAGGGAAUCUUGUACAAUGGGCGAAAGCCUGAUGCAGCAACGCCGCGUGCGGGAAGAAGGCCCUAGGGUUGUAAACCGCUUUCAGCAGGGAAGAAAAUGACGGUACCUGCAGAAGAAGGUGCGGCCAACUACGUGCCAGCAGCCGCGGUGACACGUAGGCACCAAGCGUUAUCCGGAUUUAUUGGGCGUAAAGAGCUCGUAGGCGGUUCGGUAAGUCGGGUGUGAAAACUCUGGGCUCAACCCAGAGAGGCCACCCGAUACUGCUGUGACUAGAGUGCGGUAGGGGAGCGGGGAAUUCAUGGUGUAGCGGUGAAAUGCGCAGAUAUCAUGAGGAACACCAGUGGCGAAGGCGCCGCUCUGGGCCGUAACUGACGCUGAGGAGCGAAAGCGUGGGUAGCAAACAGGAUUAGAUACCCUGGUAGUCCACGCCGUAAACGAUGGGUACUAGAUGUGGGAGGUGUCGACUCCUCCCGUAUCGUAGCUAACGCACUAGGUACCCCGCCUGGGGAGUACGG
rnacentral:rRNA from 1 species